rnacentral:rRNA from 1 species
GACGAACGCUGGCGGCGUGCCUAACACAUGCAAGUAGAACGCUGAAGGCGGAGCUUGCUCUUAUGGAUGAGUUGCGAACGGGUGAGUAACGAGUAGGUAACCUGCCUGGUAGCGGGGGAUAACUAUUGGAAACGAUAGCUAAUAACGCAUAAGAGUAGAUGUUGCAUGACAUUUGCUUAAAAGGUGCAAUUGGAACACUAUCAGAUGGACCUGCGUUGUUUUUGCUGGUUGGGGGGGUCACGGCUCCCCAAGGUGACGAUGCAUAGCCGACGUGGGAGGGUGAUAGGCCACCCUGGGGCUGGGACACGGCCAAGAGGCCUACGGGAGGCAGCAGUCGCGAACCGUCGGCAAUGGAGGGGAGUAUGACCGAACAGCGCCGCGUCAGUGACGAAGGUGUUCGGUGCGUAAAGCUCUGUUGUAGGAGGAGAACGGGUGUGAGAGUGGAAGGUUCACACUGUGACGGUAUCUUACCAGAAAGGGACGGCUAACUACGUG